UUGUAAUUAUAAUGUUUAAUAAAGGUUAAAUUUAAAAAAAACAAAAAAAAAAAACUUUUUUUUCAUCUUUCGGUUAUGACUUAUGAGCUAACACUUCUAUGUCUCGGAUAAUUUUUUUUUUUAUAUUAGUUUAAUUGUAAGUAAAUAUUGGUUAUUUUUUUAAAACUUUAUAUUUACAGCUCAUUUGAACCAUUUAUUGGAGUUCUACAUGCAACAAAAUUCCAGCUUGCUGAAAGCUUCCAUGGUUGUAGGUUUUCAGCUUGGGUACACAGUGAUAUUUGGGUCAUAUGCAUCAUUUCUCUUUGUUCGCACUGGUUGGUCAUGAUUCUCUUAUUUUUCUUUAUCUUAUUCUGAAGUUUUUCCGAUAGGCAAAGCAUUUUUAUUUGUCUCAUCAUGGUUUAAAAAACGGCUGAGGCACGCCUCAAGGCGAACCACCAAUUCCGUCAACAAUGGGGAGCCAUACCCCGGCGCCGGUGUCCUGGCACCACUAGCAAUCGUGGCGUGCAUUGCCAUGAUCAUCAAGGCGAUGUGUGCCUCAUAGGGCUGAAGCGCUAAGCAUAGUUGUCAAUAGCGAAUGACAGGCAAUAGCGACAUGCUACACAUAUGAUAUAUAGCGAUAGCGACAAAAUAGCGCCCGCUAUUUCAUGUUUUGCAAUAAUGCAG
rnacentral:lncRNA from 1 species